rnacentral:misc_RNA from 1 species
UAAUAUGCGAACGUAUUU